AAAACGGGUGGUAAUGCCGGAUGCUCCGACUCCUCGCAUGGGGUGUCGGGAAAGAUUUCAUCGGUAUGGGAUGGGGUCGCGUCCUAUCAGGUAGUCGGCGGGGUAACGGCCCACCGAGCCUACGACGGGUAGCCGGCCUGAGAGGGCGACCGGCCACAUUGGGACUGAGAUACGGCCCAGACUCCUACGGGAGGCAGCAGUGGGGAAUAUUGCACAAUGGGCGCAAGCCUGAUGCAGCGACGCCGCGUGCGGGAUGACGGCCUUCGGGUUGUAAACCGCUUUUGAUCGGGAGCAAGCCUUCGGGUGAGUGUACCUUUCGAAUAAGCACCGGCUAACUACGUGCCAGCAGCCGCGGUAAUACGUAGGGUGCAAGCGUUAUCCGGAAUUAUUGGGCGUAAAGGGCUCGUAGGCGGUUCGUCGCGUCCGGUGUGAAAGUCCAUCGCUUAACGGUGGAUCUGCGCCGGGUACGGGCGGGCUGGAGUGCGGUAGGGGAGACUGGAAUUCCCGGUGUAACGGUGGAAUGUGUAGAUAUCGGGAAGAACACCA
rnacentral:rRNA from 1 species